GUUCAGGCCAAAUUUAGAGCUCGGAGCUCUUCCCCGAACAGCACACCAAAUACACAUAAUUACUAUACAAAUUACUUUAUUUUGAGUUCAUGUACGUGUAAACUCGUGAAUACAAUUAUCUCAGUUUUAGCUGUAUUUAACUACAUACUUUUCAUGUCUGUCUUAGGCAGAUAAGAGUGUGGUGCUCAUGCGUUUCCACUGGAGGCUGAUGGAGGGUUCUGGAUAUGCACCAUAUUUGAGUGGACCUUCAAUUUUUCCACACCAAACUGAGCAGCUCAGGAAUGAUGACACACUGACACAGGGGUUUAGAAACCCUUGUUUUUCUACAAUUGUUCAUGAUCAGUAUCAUAAUCUACAUGAGGAAUUUUGUGUUGUUUUCCAUUUAUUCAUCAUAACAGAUCCCACAAAAACUCCAUUUCAAAACCUUCAUGUGUCUGACUCUGCUGUAUCACUGAGUCUCUAAUAUAUGCUGUCAUGGCCAUUUUAUUUAAAGAAAUAGUUUCUUAAAAAAAAUGUUUUUAGUAAAAACACACAUCUUCAUUAUAAUCAAAAUUAUUUCCCCUUUUCGGGACAUUCAAAGUCUGAGUUAUAUUUCUACUGGUAGAGGUGUGGCUCUACUGUGAUCCUGUGGAGCUCUUCAGAGUCUGUUACAGAGCUCAGUUCAGCUGCAUUAGUGAACACACACAAUGGUGCUCCUCUCUGUUAUUCUGCUCUUUGUCUUUACAUGUGCUACGUGUGGAGAUGAAAUUAAACCAACCAAACCUGAAGAGUUUGCUGUUGAGGGUUUAAGUGUCACAUUAUCCUGCAGUUAUUCAUCUGCACAGACUUUAUUCUGGUACCGUCAAUAUCCAAGAUCAGCUCCUGAAUUUAUUGUAGUUAUCGUAUAUGGUACAAAAGAAGACAGGGAGUCUGAUGUAAAUAAGAGAUUCACUGCUAAACACAACAAAGAAAAGCAAAACCAUGUGGAUCUGGAGAUCUCCUCUGCUGCAGUAUCAGACUCUGCUCUGUAUUACUGUGCUCUGAGGCCCACAGUCACA